rnacentral:lncRNA from 1 species
GGCGGUCGGCGCGGCAGAGGGAGGCCCAAGAAGUAUUGGGGAGAGGUGAUUAGGCAGGAUAUGGCUAGAAUGCAGGUUUCAGAGGACAUGACCCUUUAUAGGAAAGCCUGGAGGUCUAGUAUCAGGGUUGUAGGAUAGGGGCACCUAGAGUUUCUCGUCCGCUCCUCCCAGGGUUGGGGGUGGGGUAGCAGGGUUGAUAUGUGUUUACUGUACGAUACUAUUACUUGUUAUUGUAUUUUGGUAUUUUGUUUUCUUUGUUCAGAUUAUUUCUAACGCUAUUUAUGCUGGAAUUUCUAUUGCACUAAUGAUAUACUGUUUCUGUUUUGUUUUGUUUCUGUUUGUUUUACUAAUGUUUUUCACCUAACCCUAUGAGCCGAGGGUCGAUUGGAAAUAGCCUCCCUGCCCUGUCGGGUAGGGGUAAGGCUCGUCUACAUAUU